rnacentral:rRNA from 1 species
UACGUAGGGUCCAAGCGUUAUCCGGAAUCACUGGGCGUAAAGCGUGCGUAGGCGGACGUUUAAGUGUGAUGUUAAAUCGUGGUGGCUCAACCAUAUCGAUGCAUCGCAUACUGGAUGUCUGGAGAAGGCAGAGGCAAGUGGAAUUGGCAGUGUAGCGGUAAAUGCGUAGAAUAUUGCCAGGAACACCAAUGGCGAAGGCAGCUUGCUGG